rnacentral:rRNA from 1 species
UGCGUAGGCGGGUUUCUAAGUCAGAGGUGAAAGCCUGGAGCUCAACUCCAGAACUGCCUUUGAUACUGGAAGUCUCGAGUAUGGCAGAGGUGAGUGGAACUGCGAGUGUAGAGGUGAAAUUCGUAGAUAUUCGCAAGAACACCAGUGGCGAAGGCGGCUCACUGGGCCAUUACUGACGCUGAGGCACGAAAGGCGUGGGGAGCAAACA